GGGGUUGUAGCUCAGUGGUAGAGUGCUUGCCUAGCAAGUGUGAGGCACUGAGUUUGAUCCUCAGCACCA
rnacentral:tRNA from 1 species